rnacentral:rRNA from 1 species
CUUGUACACACCGCCCGUCACACCAUGGGAGCGGGUUCUGCUAGAAGUAGUUAGCCUAACCGCAAGGAGGGCGAUUACCACGGCAGGGUUCGUGACUGGGGUG